CAGCCGCCGCGGUAAUCCAGAGGAUGCAAGCGUUAUCCGGAAUGAUUGGGCGUAAAGCGUCUGUAGGUGGCUUUUCAAGUCCGCCGUCAAAUCCCAGGGCUCAACCCUGGACAGGCGGUGGAAACUACCAAGCUGGGGUACGGUAGGGGCAGAGGGAAUUUCCGGUGGAGCGGUGAAAUGCGUAGAGAUCUGGAGGAAUACCGAUGGCGAAGGCAGCCAUCUGGCCUAAUACUGACGCUGAGGUACGAAAGCAUGGGGAGCAAACAGGAUUAGAUACCCCAGUAGUCCCUGUCUCUUAUAA
rnacentral:rRNA from 1 species